GAAUGAUGGCUGGAUGGUUCUUGAGCGCUGAAUCAGAAACGCCAUUUUGGACCUUAUACACGGAUAUUGUACAGGAAACGAAUUGCAAGAAAUUGUACUCGGAAAAGUGUCACGAUUUCCAUCUGGAAGAACUGAGAGUAACAACUGAAUACGUUCACAAUGAACUAUAGAAAUUAGAUUUUUCCCUUUUCCAGGGCAUACUUGCUUUAUAGAUGUGUUUCCAAAAUCACAGCAAACAUUUCUAUAAAUCGACUCAUAGAUUAUUUAUUUUGUAAAAUAGUUGUAAUAAAUUCAAUAGUAAUUCUGUA